rnacentral:rRNA from 1 species
UACGUGGGUGCGAGCGUUAAUCGGAAUUACUGGGCGUAAAGGGUGCGCAGGCGGUUCCGCAAGUCAGGCGUGAAAUCCCGGCUACUGGAUGCGCUUGAACUACGGGACGUCGAGUAUGGCAGAGGGAGGUGGAAUUCCACGUGUAGCGGUGAAAUGCGUAGAGAUGUGGAGGAACACCGAUGGCGAAGGCAGCCUCCUGGGCCAAUACUGACGCUCAUGCACGAAAGCGUGGGGAGCAAACAGGAUUAGAAACCCCGUAGU